rnacentral:lncRNA from 1 species
UGCUACUGGUUCCCAGAUAUAUUGACCCCAAAUUAAAUAUGCUUAUAAUCACUUGGCAUAAACAUGACUGUAAGAAAUACAGAAGUGUGUAUACCAAGUCUUGUGGUAAAACUUUGUUCUAAGAUGAUGAUCUAGAUAAAUUAGAAUAAACGUUUAAAAAAACCCUUUUACUUUCAGAAAAGUAUUAGACUUACAGAAAAAUUGUGAAGACAAUUCAGAGGGUUCUCAUACAACCCACAUCCAGUUUCCCCUUAUUAACAUUUACAUAAGUGUGGUACAUUUGUCACAAUUAAUGAACCAAUACUGAUAUCAUUAUUAACUAAAGUCCAAACUUAUUUAGAUUGUCUUAGUUUUAUCUAAUGUUGUUUUUCUGUUCUAGGAUCCCAUCCAAGAUACCACAUUGCAUUUCAUUGUCUUGUCUCCCUAGGUUUCUUUUGGCUGUGGCAGUUUUCAAACACUGUCUUUGAUGACCUGGACAUUUUUGAGGAGUCAUGUCGCAUGCCCCUCUGUUGGAAUUUAUCUGAUGUUUUUCUCAUGAUUAAACUGGGAUUAUAAAUUUUGCAGAGGAAGAUAAGCAUUCACAACCAAAACAGGGCUUUUUGAUGACUACAAUCAACUGCCUUCAUGCUUGAGUCUAAGCUUCCUAAAUCAGAAAGCGCCAGAAAUUACACUUUGAACCUCCAAAUAGUCAACCAACAUGAGGAAUUGAGCAGGAGAAGCAAGAAGUGUUUACAGUGAAACAGUCUUCAAAGCGAGGAAUUUGCUCCUGUCUGCAGAAAUUAUGAAAUUAUUUUUUGAGAGGGAUCCCUUACCUUUAACUUGUG